UAUCGUGUGUGCUUGUUUUGUUUUUCUUCCAACAGAACUACCUAAAAGGCAGUGCUAACCCUUGUCAACCCGUCACCGUUGUCGAAGAAGGAAAGGAAGUCAGUGAAUUCCACAAAGCCUUCAACUGAGAGUGGCACCAUGUUUCCAGUGAUGCUGUGUAAAAGGAACGACGAAAUACUUUGGAUUCAACGGAUAUGAUUAAAUGAUAUUUUAGUGUGUUUUUUUGACAUUAGAUUCAAUCUUCAAUCCACUAUAUUGGAACUGCUUAGUGUCAUGCCUAAUCGUAGAUGAAUUUUUGUGCGCUGUUUGUGUCACAACACGGGCAAAUCCUUCUGCAUUUGCAGGAUACCUAAGCGGGAAAGAAAGUAAAUUUAAAAACUGUAGGUUUCUUUGUAAUUUUGUUUUUAAUCAACCUUCAAUGCUGGAAAGUACCGAGCAUAAUGAAAUAAAAAUAUAAAUCAGAAGAUUUACUAUAA